rnacentral:sRNA from 1 species
CAAAGACAGAAAGCAAAGCUGUGGAGCUGGCAAUGUGUGAAUAUACAUAGGAGGCUGAUGCGGCUGGAGGCCAAGGUCAAGUUGAAAGUUGCUGUCUGGCCAUGCA